AGUGAGUAAGGGACUGCACAGUCUAGCUGAUGGAACUACAUGUGCCUUAGAAAGCCUUCCUGCUGGCAGGCUGUAGUAUGGAUUUGACCUUUGCAGCUGUGGAAUAUGAUGAUAGAGAAAGUGUAUUGUCACCAUCAGCUGGCACAGCAGUGAAGAAAAUAAAUGAUUUCUUGGAAACUACAGGAAAAAGCCCUCUUUAGAAGACCUAUCUCUGACACAGUUUUAUAGCCUGUGGUCAAGUGGAAAGAACAUUGACUGAGGAACCAGAAAACCGAGGUUCAAUUCCCACUUCUGAUUUUGCUACCUAUGUGGCCUGAGGUCAAUUGCAAAACAGAGAUGGUUGAGCUUCUGAACCCAAUGAAUGACUGAACUUUUCUCAACAUAGUGAGAUAAUCAACAAAAAGGGAUUCCUUGGUCUCACUGAGAGGGAAAUUGUCUGAAAUAUCUAGUGUGACAGGCUGGAAAUAAAGAAA